rnacentral:rRNA from 1 species
CCAUUAGCUUGUCGGUAGGGUAAUGGCCUACCAAGGCUACGAUGGUUAGCUGGUCUGAGAGGAUGAUCAGCCACACUGGAACUGAAACACGGUCCAGACUCCUACGGGAGGCAGCAGUGAGGAAUUUUGCGCAAUGGGGGAAACCCUGACGCAGCAACGCCGCGUGAGUGAAGAAGGCUUUCGGGUCGUAAAGCUCUGUCAAGUGGGAAAAAAAUCUCAUGAUGAAUAGUCAUGAGGCUUGAUGGUACCACUGGAGGAAGCACCGGCUAACUCCAUGCCAGCAGCCGCGGUAAUACGGAGGGUGCAAGCGUUGAUCGGAAUAAUUGGGCGUAAAGAGCGUGUAGGCGGUAUGGUAAGUCAGAUGUGAAAGCCCUGGGCUCAACCCAGGAAGUGCAUUUGAUACUGCCAUUCUUGAGUAUGGGAGAGGAGAGUGGAAUUCCUAGUGUAGAGGUGAAAUUCGUAGAUAUUAGGAGGAACACCCGUGGCGAAGGCGGCUCUCUGACCAAUACUGACGCUGAGACGCGAAAGCGUGGGGAGCAAACAGGAUUAGAUACCCUGGUAGUCCACGCCGUAAACGAUGAGAACUAGGUGUAGCGGGUAUUGACCCCUGCUGUGCCGAAGUUAACGCAUUAAGUUCUCCGCCUGGGGAGUACGGCCGCAAGGCUAAAACUCAAAGGAAUUGACGGGGACCCGCACAAGCGGUGGAGCAUGUGGUUUAAUUCGACGCAACGCGAAGAACCUUACCUGGAUUUGACAUCCUCUGACAACCCUAGAAAUAGGGCCUUUCCGACUUGUCGGAACAGAGUGACAGGUGCUGCAUGGCUGUCGUCAGCUCGUGUCGUGAGAUGUUGGGUUAAGUCCCGCAACGGGCGCAACCCUUGUUUUUAGUUGCCAGUAUUAAGUUAGGCACUCUAAAGAUACUGCCUCGGUUAACGGGGAGGAAGGUGGGGAUGACGUCAAGUCCUCAUGGCCUUUAUAUCCAGGGCUACACACGUGCUACAAUGGACUGUACAAAGGGUCGCGACACCGCGAGGUGAAGCUAAUCUCAAAAAGCAGUUCUCAGUUCGGAUUGGAGUCUGCAACUCGACUCCAUGAAGGUGGAAUCGCUAGUAAUCGUGGAUCAGCAUGCCACGGUGAAUACGUUCCCGGGUCUUGUACACACCGCCCGUCACACCACGAAAGUCGGCUGUACCAGAAGUUGCUGGGCUAACCCUUCGGGGAGGCAGGUACCUAAGGUACGGUCGGUAAUUGGGGUGAAGUCGUAACAAGGUA